rnacentral:rRNA from 1 species
AACCAAAGGGGGCGAGCGAAAGCGGCUCCCGCUGAGGGAUGGGCCUGCGGCUAAUUAGCUAGUUGGUGGGGUAGCGGCCUACCAAGGCAACGAUCAGUAGCCGACCUGAGAGGGUGACCGGCCACACUGGGACUGAGACACGGCCCAGGCUCCUACGGGAGGCAGCAGUGGGGAAUAUUGCGCAAUGGGCGAAAGCCUGACGCAGCGACGCCGCGUGGGUGAUGAAGGCCUUCGGGUCGUAAAACCCUGUCGGUGGAACGAAUCUCCUCUCCUCUAAUACAGGAGAGGAUUGACGGUACCACCGAAGGAAGCCCCGGCUAACUACGUGCCAGCAGCCGCGGUAAUACGUAGGGGGCGAGCGUUGUUCGGAUUUACUGGGCGUAAAGAGCGCGUAGGUGGUUCGAUGAGUCGGAUGUGAAAUCCCUCGGCUCAACCGAGGACCCGCGUCCGAUACUGUCGAACUUGAGUGCAGGAGAGGAGAGCGGAAUUCCCAGUGUAGCGGUGAAAUGCGUAGAUAUUGGGAGGAACACCGGUGGCGAAGGCGGCUCUCUGGACUGUCACUGACACUGAGGCGCGAAAGCUAGGGGAGCAAACGGGAUUAGAUACCCCGGUAGUCCUAGCCGUAAACGAUGGGCACUAGGUGUGGGAGGUAUCGACCCCUUCCGUGCCGCAGCUAACGCAUUAAGUGCCCCGCCUGGGGAGUACGGCCGCAAGGUUGAAACUCAAAGGAAUUGACGGGGGCCCGCACAAGCGGUGGAGCAUGUGGGUUUAAUUCGACGCAACGC